rnacentral:rRNA from 1 species
CCCAGACUCCUACGGGAGGCAGCAGUGGGGAAUAUUGCACAAUGGGCGAAAGCCUGAUGCAGCAACGCCGCGUGAAGGAAGACGGUUUUCGGAUUGUAAACUUCUGUUCUUAGUGAAGAAUAAUGACGGUAACUAAGGAGCAAGCCACGGCUAACUACGUGCCAGCAGCCGCGGUAAUACGUAGGUGGCAAGCGUUGUCCGGAUUUAUUGGGUUUAAAGGGUGCGUAGGCGGAACAUUAAGUCAGCGGUAAAAUCGAGGGGCUCAACCCCUUUAAGCCGUUGAAACUGGUGAUCUUGAGUGGGCGAGAAGUAUGCGGAAUGCGUGGUGUAGCGGUGAAAUGCAUAGAUAUCACGCAGAACUCCGAUUGCGAAGGCAGCGUACCGGCGCCCAACUGACGCUGAAGCACGAAGGCGUGGGUAUCGAACAGGAUUAGAUACCCGCGUA